CGUUAUCGACCGGCGAAUAACAGAAAAAAUCACGUGCGCCAUCACGUGAAGAUGCGACCUUUGGACAUGCCUAGUACGUAAUUAAAACUUUCACUUUAAGUAACUGCAGUGUAGCCAGUGUUUAAUAUAACGUUUUAACAAUAAAAUAUUUUAUGUAUUUACGUUCAUUUGUUCUUUAAUUUGUUGUUUCUUUGACUAUUGAUAUAUAAUAAAACACUUAUUUACUGAGACCUCGGGAAAGCAGUGUGUUUUGUGGA
rnacentral:lncRNA from 1 species